GUUGAGGGGAAUGCUGUCUGGUUCGAGGCCAUUCGUUGCUGUAAUAUGAUCAUCUUCAUGUGAAUGAUCUCGGACCAGGCUUCAUUCCCCUCAAG
rnacentral:pre_miRNA from 1 species